CGUGAUAUGUCUGGAANCUGCUGAUGAGGGAUACUAUGAAGUNCUAUACGUAUACGUCGCAGACAAGAGGGACUCGGCCUCUGCAUCAGAUGUGCCAAAUGGNAUAGCUAGUAGGUGGUACGGCUCACUAGACUAUCCUGCUGUCUGAGAGGAUGACACAGAUGAAUGAAAACGUCACAUCUACGGAGGCACAGUGGGGANUUUUGCCAUGGGCGCAGCCUGAUGCACCAUGCCGGUGUNUAAGAGCCUUCGGGUUGUAAGUACUUUCAGGGGAGGAGUGUUGUGGUUAUAACCACAGNAAUUGGCGUUACCCGCAGAAGAUGCACCGGCUAACUCCGUGCCAGCAGCCGCGGUAAUACGGAGGGUGCAACGCGUUAAUCGGAAUUACUGGGCGUAAAGCGCACGCAGGCGGUCUGUCAAGUCGGAUGUGAAAUCCCCGGGCUCAACCUGGGAACUGCAUUCGAAACUGGCAGGCUAAGUCUUGUAAGGGGGGUAAAUUCCAGGUGUACGGUGAAUGCGUAAGAUCUGGAGGAAUACCGGUGGCGAAGCGGCCCCUGGAAAAACUGACGCUCAGUGCGAAAGCGUGGGGAGCAACAGAUU
rnacentral:rRNA from 1 species